GCUGGCCCUGGGUCUCUCCAGGGAAUUUUAAACUUUAAACAUCACAACUUAAAUCACAAACUAGCUCAUCUCACCAUCCUUCUCUUGGCCAAGGGUCAUUGCCAGACUUCCAGACAUCCCUAGAGAUAAGCAUAGAGUGAUCCCUGUCCAGUUGAAAGAUAGCCUUUCCUUACACAGUUGCACAGGGAAUGCUCAGAAACUAUCAGUUCCUUUCCCUUUCUGUUUUGCAACAAGACUUUGGCUUCAACCUGGUCCUUUGUUUUCUACAGCUCAGGGGAGACUGUCACCAGUGUGACCAGCUUGGCCCCUCUGCAGCCCAAGAAGGGCAAGAGGCGGAAGGAGAAGGCAGAUGUUCCUCCUGCAGUCCCUGCCAAAGUGCCAAUAGCCACCACGUUCCACAAACCAAAGCUGUUGAAACCACAGAGGAAAGUCGCCCUGCCAAAGAUUGCUGAGGAAAACCUGACCUAUGCUGAGCUGGAGCUGAUCAAACCACACCAGGCAGCCAAAGGCGUUCCCACCAGCACCGUGUAUGCACAGAUCCUCUUUGAGGAGAACAAGGUGUAACACUUCCUCUUCUGUGGCAGUGUCACCUCGGCCACUCAGUUAUUUAUGAAACCUCAGAAACAAAGCCCCUAUUUUUGUACUUUCACUUGUGCCUUCUGUGUGGUGGGGAGCCCCUUCCCAACUGUGUUCCAGUGCCUUUGAAGAGGUAUGAGGCUGCUCUCCCCAUGGAAUAAGGACCACAGCCCUCAGACAAGUCUCCCAGGACCAGCGGUCCCAGGCCUGACCCUGAGGUAUAAGGACUCUGCUUAUGAGAGUGCCCAAGGACAUUGUCUGCUGAGCCAACCCCAUCACCUUUCCCUGGGUUUUAAUUUGUUAAAAUCUUUCUUUAAGAUCUUAAUCUUCCUAUGAACCCUUCCUGUGUCUGUGAGCCCCAGUUCAAUGCUACAGGAAAUGCCAUUAGAGGUGGUGUAUAUGGUUUUUCUAAGGAGUCCAGGACAUUGCCAGGGCACCCAGAGCACCACAGGCCACUGAUGGCAAGCAGCCGUGUAUGAUGGCAUCCAUUGUUUUAAAUAGAUGCUCUUAUCCUGCAAUGGAAGGGCAAGGAUGGUGGGAAUCUGAGGUCCAUCUCUGAAAACUCUGGUACCCCUCUUCCCACCCAUGAUUCCCCAAUGCCAUAGGUCUAGAAGGGCACCAUUCUAAAGUACUGCCCCCUCAGCAGAGCAGACCUAGAUGGAUAGAGAAAUAUACUGCUCACCCUUUUCCAAAGAAGUGAGUUUGCCACCAAUGGACACACGGGGAAGAAAGUGAGCCUCUUCAAAAUGUGCUGGACUUGGCCGACUUGCACUGAAUGCCCACUCGUGGGAAAGCAGUUUUUCACCAGGUUCCCUCAGGGUAGGAGAAGCUAAAGUAUGAGCCACACUGGAAGCACGUGUCAUGAAAACCCUACUUUUGUCAAGUGCCUUGCGCAUCUCAACCUUGGAUGUGAAUUCUAGUGGGCUUGGGUGGACAUCAGGGCCGCGCAGGACAUAAAUAUAUGGGGAGAUUGCUCUGUGGAUCUGUACAGGGACCUUGGACUCGCAGAAGUGGAUCCGUUCUGCAAGCGUCAUCCUGCGGCUGUUAGGUGUGUUGCUGAUGUGUGGUGUUCUAUGGGUCGCCACUUACUGCACACUAUAGGAGUCGUUUGGCUAUGUAAUGGACCAUAUAUAUGUGAUAAAUUAUCUAUCUGGGUGUGAGUUGUACCCCUCUAUAUCUUUGUGUGACUUUGGUUGAGUUUCUUACCUCCUAAUAGCCUCAGACAUGUAUGUGUGUAAAGGUGACUUAACAUCUCGUACAAUUCUUGAGGGUAAGAUUGGGUAAAGACUAUUGCCAGAGUCUGAAAACUAUAAAUUGCUAUGCAAAUAUCCUUGUUUGACAUUCAUGGUAAAACCAUCUGCAUUUCCAAAAUGAAGAUUUCCGAGGCUUUUAUUGUGAUGGCUUUUUCCCCAGGGCUGGGGAUUUGACCCACGGCUUGUGCAUGCUAAGUAAGCACCCUACCUCAGAGCCACAUCCCUAGGCCUGCAAUAACUUUUGGUCCACAACUAACCCUAUAGUAAAGGUCCCAAAGACUCAUGAUGCCUUAGGAGUACCUCGUGGUUUAUUGGAAAGGAUCCAAAUGGAAGCAGAUAUUGGCUUCCUGUGUGCAAAAAUGGUCCUCCUUUUACAAAGUGGAAGUUCAACUUUUCUGGAUGACCCCUGCAUCUCAUUCCCUCUCCCUCUGCCAGAUCUGAAAGGCAAUGAACAUAACACACAGUUUUUGAGGAAGAAAUACUAUUUGGAAGAACACUAGUGUGAGUCCUCUUUCGUGAGAAUAUGUGGUUUACACACGACUUGUAUUAUAAUUACCAUAAGGAACAUUUUAUUCUGCCAUGGCAGUGUUCCAGC